UUAUUCUUGAAUCUCCUGUCUACCUUUUGGACUUUGGUAUUUCAAAACUGACUCAGCAGAAAGCAUAUGGCUACAGUUUUGGAAUUCUGUUUGCUUUCCAGAGGUACAAUGACAUGCUCUGAGUGACUAAAAAGGCUUAUUUCUGCCCUAGGCUUAGAGCAUAAAGGAUGAAUGCUUUGGUAGUGUAAUGCUGAUCUGAACCCUAGGGGAGAAAACCGAGCUUUAUAAAGAUAGAAAAUGAAAAGAU